rnacentral:lncRNA from 1 species
GAUCUAUGAAUUUAAUCAGCUUCUAAAAUGAGGUUGCAGAUUAGCUCUAGUUUCUUUUUAUGCAUGUAGAUAUGAUUGUUAAAAUAAGAAAGAAGCAUGUAGGUUGUAGGUUGGAAUUUUGGAAUUUGAAGAGAGAGAAUGAGGUUGCAGAUUUAAAGAGUGAGAAUGAGGUUGUAAAUUUGAUGACCAAGUUUGAAGAGACUGUUGGAGAUAAUUUUUCUGAUGACUCACCUAUUUGAGUAUCCCAAAGUGGUUGAAGAGGUUGUUGGAGAUGCUCUAAACAUGACACAUG